UACAGAGGUCCCAAGCGUUGUUCGGAUUCAUUGGGCGUAAAGGGUGCGUAGGUGGCGGGGUAAGUCGGAUGUGAAAUCUCGGGGCUCGACCUCGAAACUGCAUUCGAUACUGCCUUGCUAGAGUACUGGAGAGGAGAUCGGAAUUUACGGUGUAGCAGUCAAAUGCGUAGAUAUCGUAAGGAAGACCAGUGGCGAAGGCGGAUCUCUGGACAGUUACUGACACUGUGGCACGAAGGCCCGGGGAGCAAACGGU
rnacentral:rRNA from 1 species